UACGUAGGUGGCGAGCGUUGUCCGGAUUUACUGGGCGUAAAGAGCGCGCAGGCGGUCGAUCAAGUCGGAUGUGAAAGCCCCCGGCUCAACUGGGGAGGGUCAUUCGAUACUGUCCGACUCGAAGGCAGGAGAGGGAAGCGGAAUUCCCGGUGUAGUGGUGAAAUGCGUAGAUAUCGGGAGGAACACCAGUGGCGAAGGCGGCUUUCUGGCCUGUUCUUGACGCUGAGGCGCGAAAGCUAGGGGAGCGAACGGG
rnacentral:rRNA from 1 species